rnacentral:rRNA from 1 species
UACAGAGGGUGCAAGCGUUAAUCGGAAUUACUGGGCGUAAAGCGUGCGCAGGCGGUUUUGUAAGUCAGAUGUGAAAUCCCCGGGCUCAACCUGGGAACUGCGUUUGAAACUACAAGGCUAGAGUGUAGCAGAGGGGGGUGGAAUUCCACGUGUAGCAGUGAAAUGCGUAGAGAUGUGGAGGAACACCGAUGGCGAAGGCAGCCCCCUGGGUUAACACUGACGCUCAGGCACGAAAGCGUGGGGAGCAAACAGG